rnacentral:rRNA from 1 species
AGCGAACGCUGGCGGCAGGCUUAACACAUGCAAGUCGAACGGUCCUUCGGGAUAGUGGCGGACGGGUGAGUAACACGUGGGAACGUACCCUUAGGUUCGGAACAACACAGGGAAACUUGUGCUAAUACCGGAUGAGCCCUUCGGGGGAAAGAUUUAUCGCCUUUGGAGCGGCCCGCGUCUGAUUAGCUUGUUGGUGAGGUAAUGGCUCACCAAGGCUACGAUCAGUAGCUGGUCUGAGAGGAUGGCCAGCCACACUGGGACUGAGACACGGCUCAGACUGCUACGGGAGGCAGCAGUGGGGAAUCUUGCGCAAUGGGCGAAAGCCUGACGCAGCCAUGCCGCGUGGAUGAUGAAGGUCUUAGGAUUGUAAAAUCCUUUCACCGGGGACGAUAAUGACGGUACCCGGAGAAGAAGCCCCGGCUAACUUCGUGCCAGCCGCCGCGGUAAUAC